rnacentral:lncRNA from 1 species
GGACUCUGUGAGAUCAGAGACAAGGAGUAAAAUGCCUGAGCUCAAGUGACAACAAGCAACCCCAGACUAGAGACAGGAUCCUUCUCCCCACUUCGAGCAGAUCCCAGCAUGAAUCCUGCAGUAUGGUGAUGGCAAAAGUCAGUGCAGGACCACUGGGACUCCUGGAGCUUCUCACAUCUCUGAGAGCACCAGCAGCAGAAAACAUCGCCCAUUUCAUCUGUUUCUUCAGUCCCCAGAUAGCAGAUGACUGGUAGGAAGAUGAGGCAAGUUUGCGGUCCAUUGUCAUGGAUAGUGGAGACAACACUGGGCCAGAAGUGGUAAGACCUGAAUCCAAGACUCAGCUCUGCCACUUGCUAAAUGGGACUUUGAAUAAACCAUUUCUCUGCACUUAAGUUCCUUACCAACAAAACGAGGGAAGUGGCCUACAUGCCUAGAUAUCAACAUUUCAUGUCACGUAGAGAUCUAGCAUCACAAGAAUCCAAGUCAUCCUCUGUUGCCUUUAAGUUCCAAGAGGAACCAUCACCCAGUUGAAACUGUGAACCUCUCUCACAAAGUCUAAGUAGCCCUUGAUUCAAGCUAUGGGCACCAGUCUCCACAUAAUCUACUCAGAAGCACUGUAGUGUGGAAAUUGGCAAUGUCUGCCUUCUCCAAAUCAUUCAAUAGAGUUUCAGCUUUUCUCAGGCAUUCUGCAUAUUUAUAAAAGUUAGCUCGAUGCAGUAUUCCAAUAAAACCACCAAUUAUAUGCCUUUCAAAGGAUGUCAUCUUCUGAAAGCGUUCCACAUGGCUAUAAUCUUAUUACCUCUGGUUGAAGUAGUCACAGACCAAACUAAACGGAACUGGACCAAGGGAAGAGGACACAGAAGGUAAAAGGAAGCCAGACCAGCAUGUUCUCCCACUCUAGUGCUCCUACCAAGAGGCUUUGAUAAGCAAUCACAAUUGUCCCCAGUGACAUGAAAGAAAAAGUGAAGCACCCUGUAGGGAUGCAUAGCAUGACAUCUACGUAGACUUGGGUCAUGGAAGGAAACUGUCACCACAUACAAGUUCAAGGGAAAUGUUCAGCCUCCAGGUGUGGAGCGUGUACAGGAAUGAAGCUGCUCACCCAGGACUUAUGCUUUGCACCUUUGUGCUCCUCACAUAUGGCCAUGUGCCCGUCCCCCCGUCCCCCACCCCACCAAUGGCAUCUGUGCAGAGUGAUAUGCGCCACUUCCAGGCUGGAUAUUUACACUGUGGUUACCUUCUGUCCCUUUUCUCUGCAUCAGCCGCUGAAUGAAGCUCUGCCCAGGCCUUAGGAAAAGGUGAAACCCCAACUAGCAGGGGCCCCAGUUCACCAUAUCCAGGAAGGUGUCCUUGAACCAGAAAUACCCACGUUGUACUCCGACAUGAACAAGAAAUAGAUUUCUAUUAUAUUAAGCAACAGAAAUUUUCAGAUAUAUCAGUUCUCGCAGCAGGAAGGAUGUAUUGAUAAUGGCAACAUGGAUGGAGCUCAAAACAUCACAUUUAAUGAAAAAAGAGACUUACAUAAAAAAAUUAUAGACUAUAUUAUUACAUUCAAAUGAAGUUCAAGAACAAGCAAAAGUUGUGGAAAAAUAUCAGAAAACUUGCUUCUGCUGGAGGGGUAGGAUGGGAUUUGACUGGGAAGAGGCCUAGGGGAACAUGCUGGAAUGAUAUUAAUGUUCUAUUUCUUGAUGGAGGUUUGGGUUCCACAGGUGUAUGUAUUUGCUAAAAGUUAGCAAAUGUAGAGUUAAGGUUUGUGUUCUUCCUUGUGCAAUACAUUUUACACCAAAGGAAAGGCUGUAAACAAAUAUUGAACUGUAGUUAAUCAUAUGUAUGGAGAAAAACUUAAGGAAAAGACUUAUGAAUGCCUCAAGUUUAUUUAAAAAAGCAUUAAAAAUAAGAUUAAACAGGUAUUUAUGGAUAAACUACUGAAACUGAGAGAUAUUAACAGUAAAUAGUCAAAAUGUUCACUGUAAGAAUGAAAUUGAAAGGGAUUUGAACCCAGGUCUGUUUCACUGUAAAUCCUUGCUCCUGUGCUCUCUCAUGUUUAUUGGAAUUCAUGGGUAGAAAAUUUAAAUGCUCUGAAUCACUAUGAGAAGAAAGAUUCAGGAAAAAAAAAUGAAAGGCUAGAUUUCCAAAGAUAAGCCAGGUAAAUAUCAUGGAGAGUUGCAACAAUGUACUGCUAAUUAACUCUAAUACUUAGAGCUAAUGUCGAGUUUUCUGAGGGUUGUGACAUUCAUACAUGACUAAUUAACCUACACAGCAAAUCCAUUUCACUAGCUGCCAUGACACAGCCAAUCAAGACUAGCUCACUGUUUGCUCAUUUGGAAAAUGAUGAGGAUUCCCAUUUAGACUUAAUUACACUACAAAGAUUGACAAUUAUCUUCUCUAUAGAAGCAUCAGAUGUUUCGAUAUUAUACUGAACAUGUGCCUAUAAUUAUGUCCAUAAUUUGUCUAGCAGAAAAUGUAACCCAGUCAUUACUGAGAUCUUAUGCCUGUAAUUAGAUAUCAAAAAAAAAAUACCAAAUGGGAAAAGUGGGUUGUUGGGAUGUUAGGACCAUUACAAUGUGAGAAUCUGUAUGAAGCUAUUAGUGGGAACUCAGUAGCAACCAACAUCUCUUGGAUUGCUGCCCUCUAUUAAAAAUAAUCAGGAAGUGUGAGAGAGGGGAAAAUGAUGGCAGAGUAAAACCAUAGUACAAUCGCUUUUCCAAUACUUGACUGCAGUCAUUAAAAAUCCCAUAGGCACCUCAAAUUCAACACAUUUGAAACCGACUCAUUAGCCACCUUUGCCCCACUAUAGCUACUCCUUUUCCUGUGUUUGCUUUCUUAGACGAUUGCAAAGCAUUGUAGAGUCAUCUGCAACAAUUGUUCUCUCACUCCUUUCUCCUAAUCAAACCUCCGUGAUUCUGAUUACUAAUUUUUUCUAAGUGUGUUGCUCCUCUCUAUGCUGUGACUCUUCCAUUGUCUGCCUUCAUCAUCCUUGUAUGGUCAAUUUCAAGAGCACGUAUAAGAACGGUGCUGCAUCUGAAUGUUCACUCAUAAGUGGGAGUUGAACAAUGAGAACACAUGGACACAGGGAGGGGAACAUCACACGCUGGGGCCAAGCGGAGGGAGAGCAUUAGGACAAAUACCUAAUGCAUGUGGGGCUUAAAACCUAGAUGAUGGGUUGAUGGGUACAGCAAACCACUAUGGCACAUGUAUACCUAUCUAACAAGCCUGCAUGUUCUGCACGUGUAUUCCAGAACUUAAAGUAUAAUAAUAAUAAAAGAAGAAUGGUGCCGCUUUCCUCAAAUGUCUCCACCGUGUCACUUAUCUUCUGAAUUUCUCCCAGUAUGAUCAUCUCUAAUCACGAAUCUCAUUAUGCCACUCUGCCAUUCAGAAGAGUUGAGUGUGUCCACCUCUUUCCUAACAGCAUUUGGCAGAACACAGAAAGUAUGUUUUGUUUUUCAUUGAAUUUUGUGCCAGCUUCACGCUGGCCUGCCCCAGUCUGUAAUUUAGGCUAGCUCCAUUAUAUGGUUUACUAAUUAUGUAAUGUGACAUGCUCAUUAUUUCAGUUAUCUCUUGCAGGACAACUGGCUACCCCAAAAUUUAAUAGCUAAAAGCAAUCAUUUUUAUUUUGCUAAUGAUUUUUUGGGGUAAGGAAUGUAGAAACGGCUCCAAAGGGUGGUCGUUUCUGAUCAAUAUUGCAUCAGCUGGGGUGGAAGAAUCUUCUUCAAAAUAGCUUCUUUACUCACAUCUGGUGCCUUAGGGCUUCUUGACCUCUCUCUCUCUUCAUGUGGCUUCUCAUCCUCCAGGCUUUCUUCACUUGGCUUACCUUCUUGCAGCAAGGGUAUCUAAAAGAAGUCUCACUUUUUACACGGAAGCUAGAUUCCAAGAGGCAGGCAGUAGAAACUGCGCAGCUAGCUAAAGGCUAUAACAGAAAAAGGCAUGGCAACACUUCUACCAUAGUCUAUUAGUGAAGGCAGUUCCCAAGACCCUCAGAUUUAAGAGCACAGAGAAAUAGAUCCCAAUUCUAGAUGGGAAAAUGUCCAGGUCACGUUGAAGAAGAGCACAUAGGGCAAGAGACACUGUUGCACCUGUAUUUGCAAAAGUAAAUCUAUAUGCAUGCUAUUUCAUUCUUCUAAAAUACUGAGUGGCUGUAGCUCUCAACGCUAAUCGCUCUGUCUAUCCUACUCAAAUGCACUUCGGAGCAAUUGCUCAACUUUGCACAUUCUCUACGCAACCUCUCUCCAAAAUGCCCCUACAAUACUUAGUGUAAUCUCUUUUAUGUUAGAGUGGAACACCAUUGUCUAUUUACUGACAUAUUUAUCUCUCCCGCCAGAAUAUAAGGAUAAGCUCAUGUCUUAUUUACUUUAGAAUACCUUUUGUGUAACACAGAUGCUGGCAUAUAGUAGAUAUUAAAUACAUGUUCUAUUGAUCACAAGACUAAUAAAAGGAAUAAAUAAAUUGUCCUAUUCAUACAUGUAUUAUCUAUGCCUGGGGUACUUCCUGGAACAAGUUUAGUACCUGGUGAUUAUCAGCUUCCAAGAUGGCCCCCAAUAGUCUCCACCUCCUGAAUUCACACUCUUUGUAGUUCCUUCCUGCAUUGUGCCAGAGUUGGUCAAUGUGACCAACAGGAUAUAGUAGAAGGGAUGGUAUUAUGCUAUAAAAGACGUUCAAUUUUUAUCUCUUUCUCUCUCAUAAUUCACCCUGAGAGAAACCAGCUGCCUUGUUGCAAGCAGUCCUACGGAGAGGCCCACAUAGUGAGAAACUGAGGCCUUCUGCCAACAGCCAGAGGAGGGAGCUUGCAAGCAGACCCUCCAGCCCCAGCUAAGCUUCAGGUGACUGUCCAGGCAACGGCUGGAGUAAAACCUCACAAGACGUCCAGAGCUAGAGCCACCCAGCUCAGCUGCUCCCAGAUUUCUGACUCUCAGAAACCAUGUGAGAUAAUAAAUGCUUGCUGUUUUAAGCUGCUAAAUUUUGAAGUAGUUUUUUACACAGCAAGAGAUAAUUAUUUUAUUUACUAAUACAUAUUCGUGAAUGCCAUCCAACAUAGAAAGAAUGAAGCAGUUCCAUUCUUCUUCUUGGAUUUUUAGCUAAAGUAUUUUGUUGUUACUACGACAGACACCUGGGUGGUAAUUGCUAUUUCAAGCUGGACACCUGGGCUUUUUCUCCACUACAAAGAACCUCUCAGUUACUCCCAGAGAAAGUAAUGAUUUCACUUCUUGGAGUAAGUGUUUGUGCUAAUUAGCAGCAUGACGAAAUACAGCAUGUCAAGCAAAAAACUAUUUGUGCUUACCUUCCAACACAUUCUCUUACAGAGAGGACAUGAUGCCAGAGAAAUAAACAUUAAACUACUGUACACUAUCAGACUUUGCAAUGUAGCCUUACUUCACUAGCUUUGUAUUUCAAUCCCUAAUUACUAAACUGAUAAGAUUUCUGAUUAUUUUGGUUGAAAGAAAAAGCCCUCCUUUUGUCUCAACAAAAUUAGAACAUGAAAGAAAAAAAUAAAUACAUGAAAUUACCUAGAGAAUAUAUUAUUUAUAUCUGCUUCUAAGAAAUUCAGC